rnacentral:rRNA from 1 species
UACGAGAGGCCCAAACGUUAUUCGGAAUUACUGGGCUUAAGGAGUUCGUAGGCGGCAUUGCAAGUAGGGUGUGAAAGCCCUCGGCUCAACCGAGGAAUUGCGCUCUAAACUGCAGUGCUUGAGGAACCUAGAGGUGAGCAGAACAGAUGGUGGAGCGGUGAAAUGCGUUGAUAUCAUCUGGAAUACCGGAGGCGAAGGCGGCUCACUGGGAGUUUUCUGACGCUGAGGAACGAAAGCCAGGGUAGCGAACGGG